rnacentral:rRNA from 1 species
AUGCAAGUCGAACGGUAACGGUCCUUCGGGAGCCGACGAGUGGCGGACGGGUGAGUAACGCGUAGGAAUCUGCCUGGUAGUGGGGGACAACGUGGGGAAACUCACGCUAAUACCGCAUACGCCCUACGGGGGAAAGCGGGGGAUCUUUGGACCUCGCGCUAUCAGAUGAGCCUGCGUUGGAUUAGCUAGUUGGUGGGGUAAAGGCCUACCAAGGCGACGAUCCAUAGCUGGUCUGAGAGGACGAUCAGCCACACUGGGACUGAGACACGGCCCAGACUCCUACGGGAGGCAGCAGUGGGGAAUAUUGGACAAUGGGGGCAACCCUGAUCCAGCAAUACCGCGUGUGUGAAGAAGGCCUGAGGGUUGUAAAGCACUUUCAAUAGGGAGGAAAAAGCGUUGGUUAAUACCCGAUGCCUUGACAUUACCUAUAGAAGAAGCACCGGCUAACUCCGUGCCAGCAGCCGCGGUAAUACGGAGGGUGCGAGCGUUAAUCGGAAUUACUGGGCGUAAAGCGUGCGUAGGCGGCUGUUUAAGUCAGAUGUG